rnacentral:SRP_RNA from 14 species
GCCCUUCUCGCAGGAGCUGAUGGCAGCGUUGCAACUGAUGAUGUCCGGCCUGGCCCGGAAGUCCGGCAUGGACGCGAGCAGCGCGAGGGCCGACUGCCAGCGG